AUUGAACGCUGGCGGCAGGCUUAACACAUGCAAGUCGAGCGGAGAUGAGGUGCUCGCACCUUAUCUUAGCGGCGGACGGGUGAGUAAUGCUUAGGAAUCUGCCUAUUAGUGGGGGACAACAUUCCGAAAGGAAUGCUAAUACCGCAUACGUCCUACGGGAGAAAGCAGGGGAUCUUCGGACCUUGCGCUAAUAGAUGAGCCUAAGUCGGAUUAGCUAGUUGGGGGGGUAAAGGCCUACCAAGGCGACGAUCUGGAGGGGGUCUGAGAGGAUGAUCCGCCACACUGGGACUGAGACACGGCCCAGACUCCUACGGGAGGCAGCAGUGGGGAAUAUUGGACAAUGGGGGGAACCCUGAUCCAGCCAUGCCGCGUGUGUGAAGAAGGCCUUAUGGUUGUAAAGCACUUUAAGCGAGGAGGAGGCUACUGAGACUAAUACUCUUGGAUAGUGGACGUUACUCGCAGAAUAAGCACCGGCUAACUCUGUGCCAGCAGCCGCCGUAA
rnacentral:rRNA from 1 species